CCUACGGGAGGCAGCAGUGGGGAAUCUUGCGCAAUGGGCGAAAGCCUGACGCAGCAACGCCGCGUGCGGGAUGAAGGCCUUCGGGCUGUAAACCGCUUUCAGCAGGAACGAAAAUGACGGUACCUGCAGAAGAAGGAGCGGCCAACUACGUGCCAGCAGCCGCGGUGACACGUAGGCUCCAAGCGUUGUCCGGAUUUAUUGGGCGUAAAGAGCUCGUAGGCGGUCUAAUAAGUCGGGUGUGAAAACUCUGGGCUCAACCCGGAGACGCCAUCCGAUACUGUUAUGACUUGAGUUCAGGAGGGGAGCGGGGAAUUCCUAGUGUAGCGGUGAAAUGCGCAGAUAUUAGGAGGAACACCGGUGGCGAAGGCGCCGCUCUGGACUGAAACUGACGCUCGAGGAGCGAAGGCAUGGGUAGCAAACAGGAUUAGAUACCCUGGUAGUCCAUGCCGUAAACGGUGGGCACUAGGUGUGGGUUUACAACUACGAAAUCCGCGCCGUCGCUAACGCAUUAAGUGCCCGCCUGGGGGAGGUACGGUCGCGAGACGUAAACGUUAAAGUAGAGUAAGUACGUACGUUAGAGUAGUUGCCGAACGGCGACGACGAGGGAGGAGG
rnacentral:rRNA from 1 species